UACAGAGGGUGCGAGCGUUGUCCGGAAUUAUUGGGCGUAAAGAGCUCGUAGGCGGUUUGUCGCGUCGGCCGUGAAAACUUGGGGCUUAACCCCAAGCCUGCGGUCGAUACGGGCAGACUUGAGUUCGGCAGGGGAGACUGGAAUUCCUGGUGUAGCGGUGAAAUGCGCAGAUAUCAGGAGGAACACCGGUGGCGAAGGCGGGUCUCUGGGCCGAUACUGACGCUGAGGAGCGAAAGCGUGGGGAGCGAACAGG
rnacentral:rRNA from 1 species